AAGAGACAGCAGCAGCCGCGGUAAUACGUAGGUGGCAAGCGUUGUCCGGAAUUAUUGGGCGUAAAGGGCUCGCAGGCGGUUUCUUAAGUCUGAUGUGAAAGCCCCCGGCUCAACCGGGGAGGGUCAUUGGAAACUGGGAAACUUGAGUGCAGAAGAGGAGAGUGGAAUUCCACGUGUAGCAGUGAAAUGCGUAGAGAUGCGGAGGAACACCAGUGGCGAAGGCGACUCUCUGGUCUGUAACUGACGCUGAGGAGCGAAAGCGUGGGGAGCGAACAGGAUUAGAUACCCCAGUAGUCCCUGUCUCUUAUAC
rnacentral:rRNA from 1 species